rnacentral:rRNA from 1 species
GAUGAACGCUGGCGGCGUGCCUAAUACAUGCAAGUCGUACGAACAGACGAUUAGCUUGCUCCUCUGACGUUAGCCGCGGACGUGACAGUAACAUGAGGAUCACCUACCUUUAAGACUGCGAUAACUUCGUGAAACCGGAGCUAAUACCGUAUAAUAUAUUGAACCGCGGGGUUCAAUAGCUAAAGCGGGUUUUGCUGUCACCUAUAGAUGUAUCCGCGCUGCAUUAGUGAGUUGGUAAGGUAACGGCUUACCAAGGCAACGAUGCGCAGCCGACCUGGGAGGGUGUUCGGCCACACUGGAACUGAGACACGGCCCAGACUCCUACGGGCGGCAGCAGUAGGGAAGCUUCCGAAAUGGGCGGAAGCUUGACGGAGCAACGCCACGUGAGUGAUGCAGGUCUUCGGAUCGUAAAACGCUGUUAUUAGGGAAGAACAAAUGUGUAAGUAACGAUGCACGUCUUGACGGUACCUAAUCAGAAAGCAACGGCUAACUACGUG